AUUGAACGCUGGCGGCAGGCCUAACACAUGCAAGUCGAACGAGUGGCGGACGGGUGAGGAAUGUCUGGGAAACUGCCCGAUGGCGGGGGAUAACUACAGGAAACGGUAGCUAAUACAGCAUACAAUAGGAUGUGCACAGAUGGGAUUAGCUAGGAGGUGGGGUAACGGCUCACCUAGGCGACGAUCCCAAGCUGGUCUGGGAGGAUAACCAGCCACACUGGAACUGAGACACGGUCCAGACUCCUACGGGAGGCAGCAGUGGGGAAGAUUGCACAAUGGGCGCAAGCCUGAUGCAGCCAUGCCGCGUGUAUGAAGAAGGCCUUCGGGUUGUAAAGUACUUUCAGCGAGGAGGCGUUACUCGCAGAAGAAGCACCGGCUAACUCCGUGCCAGCAGCCGCGGUAAUUC
rnacentral:rRNA from 1 species